CAGCACCUCAAGUGGUCAGGAUGAUUAUUGGGCCUAAAGCAUCCGUAGCCGGCGCUGUAAGUUUUCGGUUAAAUCUGUACGCUCAACGUACAGGCUGCCGGGAAUACUGCAGCGCUAGGGAGUGGGAGAGGUAGACGGUACUCGGUAGGAAGGGGUAAAAUCCUUUGAUCUAUUGAUGACCACCUGUGGCGAAGGCGGUCUACCAGAACACGUCGACGGUGAGGGAUGAAAGCUGGGGGAGCAAACCGGAUUAGAGACCCGAGUAGUCC
rnacentral:rRNA from 1 species